rnacentral:rRNA from 1 species
AACGAACGCUGGCGGCAUGCCUAACACAUGCAAGUCGAACGAGACCUUCGGGUCUAGUGGCGCACGGGGGCGAAACGCGGGGGAACCUGCCCUUAGGUUCGGAAUAACUCCCCGAAAGGGGUGCGAAUACCGGAUAAUGUCUGCGGACCAAAGAUUUAUCGCCUUUGGAUGGGCCCGCGUUGGAUUAGCUAGUUGGUAGGGUAAAAGCCUACCAAGGCGACGAUCCAUAGCUGGUCUGAGAGGAUGAUCAGCCACACUGGGACUGAGACACGGCCCAGACUCCUGCGGGAGGCAGCAGUUGGGAAUAUUGGACAAUGGGCGAAAGCCUGAUCCAGCACUGCCGCGUGAGUGAUGAAGGCCUUAGGGUUGUAAAGCUCUUUUACCCGGGAUGAUAAUGACAGUACCGGGAGAAUAAGCUCCGGCUAACUCCGUG